rnacentral:rRNA from 1 species
CCCUUAGAUGUUCUGGGCUGCACGCGCGCUACACUGAUGCGCUCAACGAGUUUAUGACCUUGCCCGGAAGGGUUGGGUAAUCUUUUCAAAACGCAUCGUGAUGGGGAUAGAUUAUUGCAAUUAUUAAUCUUCAACGAGGAAUUCCUAGUAAGCGCGAGUCAUCAGCUCGUGCUGAUUACGUCCCUGCCCUUUGUACACACCGCCCGUCGCUCCUACCGAUUGAAUGGUUUAGUGAGAUCUUCGGAUUGGUGCCACCGAGUCCAGCAAUGGACACGGUGAAUAUCGAAAAGUCGAUCAAACUUGAUCAUUUAGAGGAAGUAAAAGUCGUAACA